rnacentral:rRNA from 1 species
CCUACGGGAGGCUGCAGUGGGGAAUAUUGGACAAUGGGCGAAAGCCUGAUCCAGCCAUGCCGCGUGUGUGAAGAAGGCCUUCGGGUUGUAAAGCACUUUCAGUGGGGAAGAAAGCCUUGGGGCUAAUACCCUCGAGGAAGGACAUCACCCACAGCAGAAGCACCGGCUAACUCCGUGCCAGCAGCCGCGGUAAUACGGAGGGUGCGAGCGUUAAUCGGAAUUACUGGGCGUAAAGCGCGCGUAGGCGGUCUGAUAAGCCGGUUGUGAAAGCCCCGGGCCCAACCUGGGAACGGCAUCCGGAACUGUCAGGCUAGAGUGCAGGAGAGGAAGGUAGAAUUCCCGGUGUAGCGGUGAAAUGCGUAGAGAUCGGGAGGAAUACCAGUGGCGAAGGCGGCCUUCUGGACUGACACUGACGCUGAGGUGCGAAAGCGUGGGUAGCAAACAGGAUUAGAUACCCUUGUAGUC